AUGAAUAUUUAUGUAUAGAUUAUUAAAAUGGAAUGUUAAGUUAAGAAAAAUGGGCAUUUUCGACACCUCAUUCUUUUUGCUUUUAAUCAAGGUUCUAAGGCCGCAAAAGCUGCUCACGACAUUUGUGCUGUGUAUGGAGAGGGUGCCAUAGCUGAAAGAACCGCUCGGGAUUGGUAUGCCA